rnacentral:ncRNA from 1 species
CUUCGGGGUGCCGGCUCACCGGCUGAGAUAGGGAUAUAGUCCCUGACCCGUCAAACCUGAUACGGUUCGUACCGUCGUAGGGAAAGAU